AUCGAACGCUGGCGGCAGGCCUAACACAUGCAAGUCGAACGAGUCGCGGACGGGUGAGUAAUGUCUGGGAAAUUGCCUGAUGGAGGGGGAUAACUUCUGGAACCGGUAGCUAAUACCGCAUACCAUCAGAUGUGCCCCGAUGGGAUUAGCUUGUUGGUGGGGUGACGGCCCACCAAGGCCACGAUCCCUAGCUGGUCUUAGAGGUUGAAGAGUCACACGGGACCUGGGACACGGUCCAGAGCCCGACGUGAGGCAGCAGGGGGGAGUGUUGCAGAAUGGACGCUAGCCUGAUGCAGCCAUGGCGCGUGUAGGGAGAAGGCCUACGGGUUGUAAAGUACUUACCGCGUUGAGGCGGUACCCGCAGAAGAAGCACCGGCUAACUCCGUGCCAGCAGCCGCGGUAAUUC
rnacentral:rRNA from 1 species